AAUGGGUCAGCGACUUAUAUUCUGUAGCAAGGUUAACCGAAUAGGGGAGCCGAAGGGAAACCGAGUCUUAACUGGGCGUUAAGUUGCAGGGUAUAGACCCGAAACCCGGUGAUCUAGCCAUGGGCAGGUUGAAGGUUGGGUAACACUAACUGGAGGACCGAACCGACUAAUGUUGAAAAAUUAGCGGAUGACUUGUGGCUGGGGGUGAAAGGCCAAUCAAACCGGGAGAUAGCUGGUUCUCCCCGAAAGCUAUUUAGGUAGCGCCUCGUGAAUUCAUCUCCGGGGGUAGAGCACUGUUUCGGCAAGGGGGUCAUCCCGACUUACCAACCCGAUGCAAACUGCGAAUACCGGAGAAUGUUAUCACGGGAGACACACGGCGGGUGCUAACGUCCGUCGUGAAGAGGGAAACAACCCAGACCGCCAGCUAAGGUCCCAAAGUCAUGGUUAAGUGGGAAACGAUGUGGGAAGGCCCAGACAGCCAGGAUGUUGGCUUAGAAGCAGCCAUCAUUUAAAGAAAGCGUAAUAGCUCACUGGUCGAGUCGGCCUGCGCGGAAGAUGUAACGGGGCUAAACCAUGCACCGAAGCUGCGGCAGCGACGCUGAUGCGUUGUUGGGUAGGGGAGCGUUCUGUAAGCCUGUGAAGGUGUGCUGUGAGGCAUGCUGGAGGUAUCAGAAGUGCGAAUGCUGACAUAAGUAACGAUAAAGCGGGUGAAAAGCCCGCUCGCCGGAAGACCAAGGGUUCCUGUCCAACGUUAAUCGGGGCAGGGUGAGUCGACCCCUAAGGCGAGGCCGAAAGGCGUAGUCGAUGGGAAACAGGUUAAUAUUCCUGUACUUGGUGUUACUGCGAAGGGGGGACGGAGAAGGCUAUGUUGGCCGGGCGACGGUUGUCCCGGUUUAAGCGUGUAGGCUGGUUUUCCAGGCAAAUCCGGAAAAUCAAGGCUGAGGCGUGAUGACGAGGCACUACGGUGCUGAAGCAACAAAUGCCCUGCUUCCAGGAAAAGCCUCUAAGCAUCAGGUAACAUCAAAUCGUACCCCAAACCGACACAGGUGGUCAGGUAGAGA
rnacentral:rRNA from 1 species